UCUUUACUUCCAGAAGACGCUGAGCCACCCACGAGGAAAUUUUUAUCCUGCUCUUCACGGCAGACAUCUGUGGGAUGAGACUGACCCAAAGGAGAAAAAUAACGCACCUACCAUGCUUCCAAGAUGGCCGCCAAAAGUCACUUCCUAGUAACCUCUGAUGAUGGUACUUCCGGUCAACAGAAGAAGACAUCACUUCCUCCGCCACAUCAUUUCCUGGUUCCUUUUGGUGACGUCAUAUCCGUCUGCCAGUUUGGACGACAUCUCCUGCCAACUCAUUUCUGUCCGCCAUCUUUUGCAUGCACAUUGUCAUCUGCUGUGAAAAGGGUUUUUGACCUGCUA